rnacentral:lncRNA from 1 species
UGCAGAGUCCCUGCUCUGGUGACCCUGUCCUUGUCAGCYGAGGUCUCAGGGCCACCUCCUGUCAGCAGGAGAUGGGUUUUGCUGCCUGUUUCCUCCCGCUGUGCUCCAGUGCCUUGGACCGUCAGGUCCCAGCUGUCAUUMCCCCCAUCCCCGCACCCACUGACGUCUCUGGGCCAAAUCAAAGCCCUCAGAUGUUUUGCUUGAAAUGACCAGUGAACUGCUCUGAAAUGAAAGAUCAGAGCAUCUGGCAAGCGACUAGUGCUGUGAAGUAGCCAAGGUGCCAGCAUGUUUAAGGUGUCUUCACCAUCCUCCACCCGCGCGGAGCCGCGGAGCCGAGCCUGUGCCGCUCACACCAGCGAAGGCAGCCCUGUCGGGGUGCGAGGUGUGCAAAGCCGUGGCUGGCCGAACCGCGGAGGAGGCUGGCUGAUGGCUCCUGCUGGGACGGGCUGUGCCAGAUGCCCCUGCACUUGGGCUGUACCUGGGGCCGCGCGGGGGCCUUCCCAUCCCUGCGCCAGCGGCUGGGGGAMCGGAGACUCCCCAGCGAAACCGCAGCCCCGGCUGGGCUCCUUCGCCCCGUGCCAAGGCUGAGCUCACGUUGACCUUCCUGGGGAAGUGUCCAGCAGCCCUCAGCUCCGAUGUCAGCUCUGUGUCGCCUUUAGAAAGAUUUUGGAUGUGUUYUUAUGCCACUUUCUGAAGUGGGGCCGUGGGUCGGCCAGGAGCCGGCRUUUCCCCACCACUGGUCUCGGCUCUGCGCUCGCACRGGCUGCGGAGCUGGGGCUCGGGGGWGCRGGAACGUGGUGGGUCCUGAGCCCAGACCGCGGGCUUGACCAGCCCCGGGGAGAUGUCUGCGCUGAAGGCAGAGGAUGCUGUAACCAUAGGCAAAAGGAGAUGGCUUUUGCUGUUACUUACAGCCAAGAAGUUUAAAAUAUAUUAUAAAAUGAAUUAUUACAUUAUUGUCCAAUUCUGAAGUAAAUGCAAAGAAAAAAGAUGAAUGGGGGGGUUGUGGGAGAACAGCCUGUUGAAACAGGACAGUUCCAGUAAGAUUAGGACAGAUUACUCCAUCCCGGUCCACAGUACUAUCUCGGCGCUGUUUGCACAGGGCUGUUUACCCACCCGACGGCGCAGGGCGCAGAGGAGCAGCAGGAGCACAGCGAGCAUCGGAGGUGCAGGAGACCYGGGGGAAACGGUUAAAAGCAGGUGGCCCAGGGGCCUGGGGAGCUGCUGCUGCUGUUGGCUCUGCCCCGCGGCUGGUGUUUUAAUGUCACCGCAGGGAGGGAGCAGCGGCACGGAGGGGGAACGGAUCAUUUGUGGCUCUUAGAGCAUUCGAGGCUGGAAGAUUGCGGCGUAGGAGAAGGGGUUGAAGUGCCCUUGGCAGCGCCKGGGGCGUUUGCGCGGGGGCAGGUYSYGCAGCUGGCGUUUAGCAGCGGGGGSAAGAGCCCUCCGUUGCCCCCGUCCGGAGGAUGCCGCUGCUCCUGCCGAGAGCCUGCCCGCUGCCCCCUCCCAGGAGAGGCUGGCGUCUCGGGAGGACGAGGCCGCUUGUUUUCAUGUGUGGGGAARAAGCACGGUGAGGCUGUGUUGAGGCAAGUCCCAGCCAGCUCAGGAGGGAGCGCAGUGAGGAUGCUUUCCUUCAAAAGGGCAUACCCGGGAUUUUCCUGGGAUCAGGAAAAUCCGGUGCCGCGUGAUGGCCACCUGCCCCUUGGGGACGACCCCGAGCAGCUGGCGCUUGGAGAGCUGUGCUUUUAGAAACACCCGCUAAUUUGGCCCAAAGGCCUGGGGCCAGCACGGGCCGGUGUCCCGCGUGGGAGCCGUGCAGGGCGCUCGGUGUCCGGCCRCGGCGCUGGGGCCGCGCUGGGUGUCAGGUGCCCCAGGGGCAGGCCCUGGCUGGCCUCGGAGCGGCAGCGCCUUCCUGGGAUCCCCGGGCCCGUUGCCUGCCGCUAAUCGCUAAUAGCCGGGGCCGCUAUCGGUCUUCCUCGCGGGGCGCUUGGGCGCCUGCUGAUAAGCUGCGCCCGGCUGCACGGGCUGGGACGAGCCCCCGGCUGCCCCGGCUUUCCAGCCGCGGGUGGGUUUUGCUCCGUCGGGCGGCUCGUGGCAGGGCUGGCCACGUCCCCCGCGCGGCUGGAGCACCUCCUGCGCCGGCGACCACGGGAAUGGGAGGUGACUUGCGGGAGAGGGAUGAGGAGCG